CCUCGGUGGCCGUUGACCAACCGUUGUACAUGCUGCUUAUUUUAACGUUCAGAGUGCAUGUGUGAAAACAGGGUUUGAUUUUUCUUCCUUUUCUCCUUGUGUUUUUUAGUAUGUACUGCAGUCACGUGGCCAUUUGUCUCUAAGCUGUGGGCCUCCGGUGGUGGGGACUGGUGUCUUCAGGUGGUGGGAACCCCUUCCUGUGUGGCCUGCUGCUCAUCCCCUGGUUGUUUUUUUUUUUUUUGUUUGUUUGUUUGGUUUUUUGUUAUUUCCUCACUCAGGUGUGUGUGCAUGUUAACGUGUGAGUGGGGUGAUUUCUCCUGCGCUCCCUUGUGAUGCCUGUUGGUCCAAACCUCCACCAGAGAGCCCCCAGCUCUGAUUAGUCCCCAACCCUUCCUUUAACAAUCCUGUGUGAAUGGUUGCUUUUAAAAAUUGGUUCUAAAAUGAGUAUUUUUGAUAUUAAAUAAAAUUGGUAUCUUUUCGGCUUCACUGGAA